AUUGAACGCUGGCGGCAUGCCUUACACAUGCAAGUCGAACGGCAGCACGGGUGCUUGCACCUGGUGGCGAGUGGCGAACGGGUGAGUAAUACAUCGGAACAUGUCCUGUAGUGGGGGAUAGCCCGGCGAAAGCCGGAUUAAUACCGCAUACGAUCUACGGAUGACAGCGGGGGACCUUCGGGCCUUGCGCUAUAGGGUUGGCCGAUGGCUGAUUAGCUAGUUGGUGGGGUAAAGGCCUACCAAGGCGACGAUCAGUAGCUGGUCUGAGAGGACGACCAGCCACACUGGGACUGAGACACGGCCCAGACUCCUACGGGAGGCAGCAGUGGGGAAUUUUGGACAAUGGGCGAAAGCCUGAUCCAGCAAUGCCGCGUGUGUGAAGAAGGCCUUCGGGUUGUAAAGCACUUUUGUCCGGAAAGAAAUCCUUGGCCCUAAUACGGUCGGGGGAUGACGGUACCGGAAGAAUAAGCACCGGCUAACUACGUG
rnacentral:rRNA from 1 species